rnacentral:lncRNA from 1 species
GUUUUUCUUUUCAUUUUGGUGCUGCGUGUUGGACUUAGGGCUGCUCUACCAUUGAGCUAUAUUCCCAAAACUUUUAAUUUUUCAUUGAGAAACAGAGUCUUGCAAAAUUGCCCAGGCUGGACUCAAACCUGGGAUCAUCCUGCCCCGGCCCCCUGAUUGGCAAGGACCACAGGCAUGGCCUCCAUGCCCAGCUUCCUGCUGUCAAUAGUAUAAUAAUUGUCCUAUUUAUUAACAUGACAACACUGAUGUCACAUCAUUGUUUUUCAAGAUUCUUUAGUGGAUUCCAGUAGCAUAGAGGAUCAUGUUGUCUCUCUAUGAAGACAUUGUUUUAUUGAGCUUGAGUGUUUUUUUCAUUAUUCUUGAUUUUUUUAACUAUUGAUAUAAUCAAUAUUUAUUAUUUAGCUUUUUAUUGUGAUGGAUAAUGUCAAUUGGUUUUUUAAUUCUGAAUAAGCCUUGCAUGUGUGCUGUGUUCCUGGGCCCUGCAGAGGCUGAUGUGAGUGCAUCUGGGCCACUGGGCUUGACUUCCCACAGUAGUAUGCUGGUCCCUGUUAAAUUUUAACUGAGUUUUAAAUUUGGCAUCAGUCUUACAGAGCUGUAAUAAUUUCCUCUUGGCUGUGUUUAUAAUUCUUUUUAUUUAUUUUUGGAUUCAAUAAAGUAUUGUAUGA